rnacentral:rRNA from 1 species
CUGAUAGCUCGAACUAUAGGCUUCGGGGGAGUACUGCCAGACUGGAACCGGGAGAGGUAAGAGGUACUACAGGGGUAGGAGUGAAAUCUUGUAAUCCCUGUGGGACCACCUGUGGCGAAGGCGUCUUACCAGAACGGGUUCGACGGUGAGGGACGAAAGCUGGGGGCACGAACCGGAUUAGAUACCCGGGUAGUCCCAGCCGUAAACGGUGCUCGCUAGGUGUCAGGCAUGGCGCGACCGUGUCUGGUGCCGCAGGGAAGCCGUGAAGCGAGCCACCUGGGAAGUACGGCCGCAAGGCUGAAACUUAAAGGAAUUGGCGGGGGAGCACAACAACGGGUGGAGCCUGCGGUUUAAUUGGACUCAACGCCGGACAACUCACCGGGGGCGACAGCAAUAUGUAGGCCAAGCUGAAGACUUUGCCUGAAUCGCUGAGAGGAGGUGCAUGG